rnacentral:rRNA from 1 species
AUUGAACGCUGGCGGCAGGCCUAACACAUGCAAGUCGAACGAGUGGCGGACGGGUGAGUAAUGUCUGGGAAACUGCCCGAUGGAGGGGGAUAACUACUGGAAACGGUAGCUAAUACCGCAUACCAUCGGAUGUGCCCAGAUGGGAUUAGCUAGUAGGUGGGGUAAUGGCUCAACUAGGCGACGAUCCCUAGCUGGUCUGAGAGGAUGACCAGCCACACUGGAACUGAGACACGGUCCAGACUCCUACGUGAGACAGCAGUGGGGAAUAUUGCACAAUGUGCGCAAGCCUGAUGCAGCCAUGCCGCGUGUAUGAAGUAGGCCUUCUGGUUGUAAAGUACUUUCAGCGAUGCGGCGUUACUCGCAGAAGAAGCACCGGCGAACUCCGUGCGAGCAGCCGCGGUAAUUC